AUUUCCUAUAAAAUUAACAUCAUAUGAACAUUAAAAACCAUGGAAACAUGAGUGUUAUCAACUCCCCCAAACUUAAGUCAUUGUUCGUCCUCGAAUAAUGAGAAGAACACAAUCAAUAACACGAAUGGGUAAGAAAUCUAGCUCAUCGAUGCCUCCGAAAGAUAAAGAAUGAUAGAAUUCUCAAAUCCUCAAUAAUUAAGCACAAAAUUCACCAA
rnacentral:lncRNA from 1 species